UGGGGAAUAUUGGGACAAUGGGGCGAAAGCCUGAUCCAGCAAUGCCGCGUGUGUGAAGAAGGCCUUCGGGUUGUAAAGCACUUUUGUCCGGAAAGAAAUCCUUGGCUCUAAUACAGUCGGGGGAUGACGGUACCGGAAGAAUAAGCACCGGCUAACUACGUGCCAGCAGCCGCGGUAAUACGUAGGGUGCAAGCGUUAAUCGGAAUUACUGGGCGUAAAGCGUGCGCAGGCGGUUUGCUAAGACCGAUGUGAAAUCCCCGGGCUCAACCUGGGAACUGCAUUGGUGACUGGCAGGCUAGAGUAUGGCAGAGGGGGGUAGAAUUCCACGUGUAGCAGUGAAAUGCGUAGAGAUGUGGAGGAAUACCGAUGGCGAAGGCAGCCCCCUGGGCCAAUACUGACGCUCAUGCACGAAAGCGUGGGGAGCAAACAGGAUUAGAUACCCCUGGUAGUCCACGCCCUAAACGAUGUCAACUAGUUGUUGGGGACUUCAUUUCCUUAGUAACGUAGCUAACGCGU
rnacentral:rRNA from 1 species